rnacentral:tRNA from 1 species
GCCGGUGGUUGCUCGAUGGUCGAGCAGCCGUUUCGUAUGCGGCCUCGUGGGGUUCGAUUCCUCCCGCCGGCU